UGCAGAGGUGGCAAGCGUUGUUCGGAAUUACUGGGCGUAAAGGGCGCGUAGGCGGCCUUCUAAGUCAGACGUGAAAUCCCCCGGCUUAACCUGGGAACUGCGUCUGAUACUGGGAGGCUUGAGUAUGGGAGAGGGAUGUAGAAUUCCAGGUGUAGCGGUGAAAUGCGUAGAUAUCUGGAGGAAUACCGGUGGCGAAGGCGGCAUCCUGGACCAUUACUGACGCUGAGGCGCGAAAGCUAGGGGAGCAAACGGG
rnacentral:rRNA from 1 species